rnacentral:tmRNA from 1 species
GGGGGUGAACGGUUUCGACAGCGGAUGUGCUGACGAGAGAAGCGGGCUGAGGACGACGGUCAUCUCAUGAACGAUCCGUCAAAAUCACAAGUGCCGAUUCCAAGCGCACUGACUUCGCCCUCGCUGCCUAAGCGAGCGUGAGUCCGUCGGCCUGAGGGUGCCUUCCCCUCAGUUCCCGGCGUCGUUCAGAAGGCUUGCUGAGCGCCUCGAUCACGGAGGCGUGAGGGACUCCAAACAGUGAUGUAGGCCGUGUUGGCGGAUGGGUCGCACGAACCCGCCAGGCCGAAUGCACCACACCGCGACUGCGCCCGGAGAAGGCUCCGAUUCGCACCGUUGGACCCGGGUUCGAUUCCCGGCACCUCCACAA